AUUGAACGCUGGCGGCAUGCUUUACACAUGCAAGUCGAACGGCAGCGCGGGCUUCGGCCUGGCGGCGAGUGGCGAACGGGUGAGUAAUGCAUCGGAACGUGCCCAGUAGUGGGGGAUAGCCCGGCGAAAGCCGGAUUAAUACCGCAUACGACCUGAGGGUGAAAGUGGGGGACCGAAAGGCCUCGCGCUAUUGGAGCGGCCGAUGUCGGAUUAGCUAGUUGGUGGGGUAAAGGCUUACCAAGGCGACGAUCCGUAGCUGGUCUGAGAGGACGACCAGCCACACUGGGACUGAGACACGGCCCAGACUCCUACGGGAGGCAGCAGUGGGGAAUUUUGGACAAUGGGGGCAACCCUGAUCCAGCCAUGCCGCGUGCGGGAAGAAGGCCUUCGGGUUGUAAACCGCUUUUGUUCGGGAAGAAAUCCUCUGGGCUAAUACCCCGGGGGGAUGACGGUACCGGAAGAAUAAGCACCGGCUAACUACGUG
rnacentral:rRNA from 1 species